AAGCUCUGCCUCCCGGGUUCACGCCAUUCUCCUGCCUCAGCCUCCAAGUAGCUGGGACUACAGGCGCCCGCCACCACGCCCAGGUAAUUUUUUGUAUUUUUUUUUUUUUUAGUAGAGACGGGGUUUCACCGUGGUCUCAAUCUCCUGACCUUGUGAUCCGCCCACCUCGGCCUCCUAAAGUGCUGGGAUUACAAGUGUGAGCCAUCGCCCCUGGCCUUUUUUUUUUUUUUUUUUUGAGACUGAUUCUCACUCUCGCCCAGGCUGGAGUGCAGUGGUGGGAUCUCGGCUCAUUGCAAGCUCUGCCUCCCGGGUUCACACCAUUCUCCUGGCUCAGCCUCCCGAGUAGCUGAGACUACAGGCGCCUGCCACCACGCCCGGCUAUUUUUUUGUAUUUUUAGUAGAGACGGGGUUUCAGUGUUAGCCAGGAUGGUCUCGAUCUCCUGACCUCGUGAUGUGCCCGCCUCAGCCUCCCAAAGUGCUGGAAUUACAGGUGUGAGCCACCGUGGGAAGCUUUUUUUUUUUUUUUUUUUGAGAUGGAGUCUUGCUGUGUCACCCAGGCUGGAGUGCAGCGGCCCGAUGUCAGCUCACUGCUACCUCCUCCCAAGUUCACCCACCUCAACCUCCCGAGUAGCUGGGAUUACAGGGGUGUGCCACCACACCCAGCUAAUUUUUGUAUUUUUAGUAGAGACGCGGUUUCACCAUGUUGGCCAGGCUGGUCUCGAACUCCUGACCUCAGGUGAUCCACCCCCUUCGGCCUCCCAAAGUUUGACCACACCCAGCCCAUAAUAGAUUUUUUAAACUCCUAUAAAUAUCAUUCUAUUUCCCCUUAUUGCUAAAAUGAGAGCUUUUUCAUCCAGUUUUUUGGGUGUGUUCCAAAUAUUUUGUUAAAUUUCCCAUCUACUGCUGUUAUUGUUUCCAUUUUAUUUGCCCAUGUGAGUUGAUACCUUUUUCAUUCCUUUCCUAUAGCUUUAGUGACGUUGUGGGAAGGGAAGUUAGGCAGCAGACAACAAAUUACCUUCUGUGACUGUAUGGCAAGGUCAGACGCAUCAUUCCUUGCUAGGCGAAGGGAAGGUAUAAUACUUAAACUAUAUUUUUAAAAAUAAAAGUAUUCCCUUUUGAGUGUGAAUUAGGAAUCAAUGCACCUUCUCACUACUCUUGUGAAAAAAAUCACAGCUCCUGCAGCAAGUCUAUGCCUGGGUAACAACUAACCCACAAAAUCCAAGAGGUCCCCCUCUCCCGCCUCUGUGAGGCCUGCGGAGCAGUAUGUAUCUGGGCCAGCCUGGUCCUCAAGAGUGUGGAAUUAACACCUUUCCUCUAGCAACUGUCUGUGCUGCUGAGAACAGCACAGACUCUCUGGCAGCCUGGUUCUCUCCAGGGGGAAGCCUGUGAAGCAGAAGAAACAUAUGGCAUCUGCACUCAGGGCGCCCAGUUCCAUCCGGCCUCGCUAUAAAAUGACUUUGCCUUUCCUGUUUUAAAAUUACAAAAAUAAUUCAACCAAUACAUAAACAUAUGAAGUGAAUCACGGAGGGCCUUCCUGCAAUAUCUUUUUUUGCCUACCAUUUGUCAUGGAAUGGGUAAAGGGGACCACAGAGGGAAGAGACGCUGCCCCUUUGCAGGGCCAUGGCAGUCCCCUGGACUGUGUCUCCGCAGAGCUUCCUGUGAAACGUUGUUACCACGAGCACCGCACUGGAGACCAUGAAAGGGAAGAGUUUGACAUCUCAGCUGUCUUUGCUAUAAAUAGAAAUAAAUAAAACUUAACUAA